UGGAGUAGCUAUCUCGUCGGGGUGGUCAGUUGGUUGUUAUAUCUCCACUAAUAAGCGGAGGAGGGGUAAAACUCUCAAAGUAAGUUAUGUGGGUUAAGGUAUGAUGAUUAAUUGGAGUUCUAGUUCAUUUACUUUGAGAAAAUUAGAGUGUUUAAAGCAGCCUCUUGGGGCACUGAAUACAUUAGCAUGGGAUAAUAAAAUAGGAUCUUCACAAUAUAUUUUAUUGGUUUAAAUUGCGUAUGAAGAUAAUGAUUAAUAGGGACAGGUUGGGGGUAUUCAUAUUGGGUGGUUAGCGGUGAAAAUGCUCGGAUCCAUUCAAGAUGAACUAAAGCGAAGGCAUUUACCAAGGAUGUUUUCAUUAAUCAAGAACGAAAGUUAAGGGGAUCGAAGACGAUUAGAUACCGUCGUAGUCUUAACUAUAAACUAUGCCGACCAGG
rnacentral:rRNA from 1 species